GUUAACUCACUAUUGUAAUUAAGUUAGUAAGCUUGAAUACAGUGCACACAGUAAAACUAUCUCUGCGUGCCAUUUUCCUCCAUCUUGAGAAUUCAAUUAAAAAACAAUAACAUAUGCUUAAAUCUUGUAUCACAGUUAGUACCUCGUCUCAAACCUUUUUUGCUCCAUUUUUGCUCCAUAUUAGAAAUUCAGUGUGUACGACGUUUUAGUAUCUCACCUCAAACCUUAUACAUCAAUGUUGGGAUAACACCUUACUGUGUGCACAGUUAAUUUAACUAUGUGCGCAGACAAUUUAUCUGUAUGCCAAAAUAAUUAAAUUGUGAAUAGAGUAGAAUUUACUGUGUGCACGGUUAAUAUAACUGUGUUUCGGGGUAAAAUAACAGUCUUGAAACAUUUGUUUUAAAUCCAAUGCAAUCUUCACAAGAGUACAAUAGCAAGGGAAACAAGAACAUAUGCAUACGACACAUCCACUUCAAACCGAUCUCAAAGAUCUCCAAAUUUUAUAUGGCUUCUUGCCUACAAGAAUAGCAAGAAUAAGAAAAUAUCUAUGUACAGAAUGUAGUCAAGUAGGAAGAGAUAGUUUUCUAUGUGUUGUAAAAGUUGAUUGUAAGAUGAGUGCAUUUGCAUUUUUUUGUGUCAUAUAACAUUUAAAUAGAAAAUUAGAUUAUGUUGAGAUGAUUGGCCAAAUUUUCUACUUGCUAUCAUGCUCAUUGCUCAGAUGCUGAAAUGUAACUUAUAGAUUCUCAAAAAGUGACUAAACUAUGUGCCGUCACACACUUACAACACUAUUGCGGUAAACUUUAAUGUGUGCAGCGUGUCAUUUUGGAAAUUCAUUUAGUUCCAAAAUUUUAGAAAUUGCAGCGUGCCAAAAUCUAGAUUGGCACAUCCCAAAAUGAAGUAGUGAACUCCUAUUCUUGAUAAGUAGAAGGUUUGGCAAAGUUUAAUCACCGUUAUUCUACCCCGGAACACAGUUAUUUCAAUUGUGCACAUAGUUUAUGAUACUGUACACAGUUUAUUUGUUUCAGAACACAGUUAUUUUGUCUGCGAACAUAGUAAAUAGAACUUUGCACACAGU
rnacentral:lncRNA from 1 species